GUGAACGCUGGCGGUAGGCCUAACACAUGCCAGUCGAACGGCAGCACCGUAAGCGCUUGCUCUUACGGGUGGCGAGUGGCGGACGGGUGAGGAAUACAUCGGAAUCUACUUUUUCGUGGGGGAUAACGUAGGGAAACUUACGCUAAUACCGCAUACGACCUACGGGUGAAAGCAGGGGAUCUUCGGACCUUGCGCGAUUGAAUGAGCCGAUGUCGGAUUAGCUAGUUGGCGGGGUAAAGGCCCACCAUGGCGACGAUCCGUAGCUGGUCUGAGAGGAUGAUCAGCCACACUGGAACUGAGACACGGUCCAGACUCCUACGGGAGGCAGCAGUGGGGAAUAUUGGACAAUGGGCGCAAGCCUGAUCCAGCCAUACCGCGUGGGUGAAGAAGGCCUUCGGGUUGUAAAGCCCUUUUGUUGGGAAAGAAAAGCAGCAGGUUAAUACCCCGCUGUUCUGACGGUACCCAAAGAAUAAGCACCGGCUAACUUCGUG
rnacentral:rRNA from 1 species